GGUUUAGUGCUUUGUACUCCCAGAGCUCUUUUGCAUUUAUUAUCUCAUCUCUGAUCCAUUUUUAGGAUGGCGGCAGCCUUACCUCAUGUCCUCGUGUGUCAUCAUUUCUUUGGAGACAUGACGCUUGGCUGACGGGUCUGGUUUUCCACCUCAUGCUUUGGGCAGCCUAUUCUGGGGGCUAAAGUGAUGGUUUGGUGUGAACGCAGAAGAGAUCAACUGAAGAAUUCCACAAGAUGGACUACAUGGGGGCCAGGAGGUAGCUCAGAGGUACAGCACCUGCCUGGCAAGAGCAAAGUCCUGAGUGUGAUUUCUGGUACCAAAGGAAUAUGGGGCUACAUGGACUAGCAUGAGGACAUAAACUCGUGGCACCCAUAGACUCAGGAAUACCCUGGACAUCUGUGAACUCUGUGAAAGUACAAGUGCAGCCAUUCAUUAAUUGGAAG
rnacentral:lncRNA from 1 species